GAUGAACGCUGGCGGCGUGCCUAAUACAUGCAAGUCGAGCGAACGGACGAGAAGCUUGCUUCUCUGAUGUUAGCGGCGGGCGGGGGAGUAACACGUGGAUAACCUACCUAUAAGACUGGGAUAACUUCGGGAAACCGGAGCUAAUACCGGAUGAUAUUUUGAACCGCAUGGUUCAAAAGUGAAAGACGGUCUUGCUGUCACUUAUAGAUGGAUCCGCGCUGCAUUAGCUAGUUGGUAAGGUAACGGCUUACCAAGGCAACGAUGCAUAGCCGACCUGAGAGGGUGAUCGGCCACACUGGAACUGAGACACGGUCCAGACUCCUACGGGAGGCAGCAGUAGGGAAUCUUCCGCAGUGGGCGAAAGCCUGACGGAGCAACGCCGCGUGAGUGAUGAAGGUCUUCGGAUCGUAAAACUCUGUUAUUAGGGAAGAACAUAUGUGUAAGUAACUGUGCACAUCUUGACGGUACCUAAUCAGAAAGCCACGGCUAACUACGUG
rnacentral:rRNA from 1 species